CAUUAUUAUUAUUUAUUUAUAAUAAAAAAAUUGAUGUUUAUAGUAGGUAAUUAAUUUAGUGAUAGAGUAUAAUUGAAGGGAUUAAUUGAAAUUAAUGAAGAUUUUAAAUUUCAAUAUAUUGGGAAUAUUUGUAAAUAAUAAAUUAAUUUAAAAAAAAUACAAUAUCAAUUAUAUAUAUAUUAAAUUAUAAAUAAAUAUUAAAUAAUUAAUAAUAUUAUAAUGUGGGGUAUGGGAUUCAAAGGAUUGGUGCUACCGACAAUCCACAUCAUGAUCAUUAAUUUAAGGAGUAGCUCAGAAGUAGUAACUGUACAUCUACUCAGAACAUUGGCUGAAGGAAACUUCACCAGUUAAUGUUACCCUGUAGGUUCCAAUCAGGAGACUCCAGCCACGUGGCCGCCAUACACCCCGGCCUGGAAAUUUUUGCAGCGGGGCGAAGCGUGGAUGCCUAGUAGUCGGAUACCACGAAACGAGGUAAACUGUUAUCCCCGAGGGGGUAGAUUCUCUCUCAAGACAGCCUGGUUAGAUAGCUCGGGCGAGGUAAUGGCUUAGCAAGGCUAUGACCUAUAGCUGGUCUGAGAGGACGAUCAGCCACGCUGGAAAAGAGAUACGGUCCAGACUCCCACGGGAGGCAGCCCGGGGAACCCCCACAUUGGGCGAUAGCCCGAUCCACCUAGGCCGUGCGAGCGACCGAAGGCCCCCCGGUUCCACCUCUGAAGCCAAACAAAGGAGGUGCGGG
rnacentral:rRNA from 1 species